GCGAUGGGCAGUGACUAUCCGAAAAAAAAACAUUAUCAGUCAUUCCAUUAUUUAUAAUUAUAUUAAUACUGAUUUUAAUUUUAAUUCAUUUUUUUCUUUAUUUCAUUGUCAGAAAUAUUGAAAAUGGCUAAUAUUGCUAAAAAGCUGAUUAAAAGUAGUUAAUUUUUUUUUUCAAAUGUAAGAAAGUUUUUACCGGGCAUUUAAAAUAACACUCUUUUAAAAUCAAUGGAUGUAUCUAGAUCGCUUAAAAUUUGCAAUGUGGGUUUUUCCCCAGAAUACUACUAUUAUAAUAUAACGACAUAGCGUUAACACUUAAUCCAUACAAAGUGGAAUUAGAUAUAUAUAUAUAUUUUAUUAAAAGAAUACUUACAAUGCAACAUGGCCUCAAGUUUUUUUCUGUCGACUUUGAAUCGUUCCUUGGCCAAAUCAUCGGCCGAUUCUAAUC